rnacentral:piRNA from 1 species
UACAAGAUGGCGCUGACAGCUGUGU